CUCUGCUCUGCUCUGCUGCUGGCCGCUCUCGGGCUUCUGGCUCACUUCGUCGUUCUCUUUGGCUCUGCUGCUGGCUCACGUCGUCGUUCUCUUUGGCUCUGCUGCUGUUGGCUCGCGUCGCCGUUCUCUUUGCUCUGCUCUGCUGUUGGCUACUGUGGGCCGCGAACUUAAAUUAUGACUUCAGAAUUUCACCUUAUAAUAUAACUUAGAAA
rnacentral:lncRNA from 1 species